rnacentral:rRNA from 1 species
CCUAGUUUAUCCUGCCAAUAGUCAUAUACUUGUCACAAAGAUUAAGCCAUGCAUGUGUAAGUAUGAGCAAAUUCAAACUGUGAAACUAUGAAUGGAUCAUUAAAUCUGUUAUAGUUUAUUUGAUGGUAUCUACUACUCAGAUAACAGUAGUAAUUCCAGAGCUAAUACGUGCAACAAACACCGACUUUCGAAAUGGAUGCAUUUAUUAGAUAAAAGGUAGACGCAGGCUCUGCCCAUUGCUGCGAUGAUUCGUGAUAACUCAACAGAUCGCACGACCAUCGUUCCAGCGAUGCAUCAUUUAAAUUUUUGUCUUAUCAAGUUUCAAUGGUAGGAUAGUGGCCUACCAUAGUGGUGCCGGGUGAUGAAGAAUUAGGGUUCGAUUAUGGAGAGGGAGCCUGAGAAAUGGCUACCACAUCCAAGGAAGGCAGCAGGCGCACAAAUUACCUAGUCCUGACAUAAGGAGGUAGUGACAAUAAAUAAUAAUAUUGGGCUCAAUGAGUCUGGUAAUUGGAAUGAGUACAAUCUAAAUCCCUUAACGAGGAUCCAUUGGAGAGAGAGUCUGGUGCAAGCAGCCGUGGUAAUUCUAGCACCAAUAGCGUAUAUUUAAGUUUUUGAAGUUAAAAAGAUCAAAGUUGGACUUUGGGAUUGGCCGACAGGUCCGCCUAUGGUGUGCAUUGGUCGUUUCGUCCUUUCUGUCGGUGAUGUACUCCUGCCCUGAACUGGCUGGGUCAUACCUCCGACGCUGUUACUUUGAAGAAAUUAGAGUGCUUAAAGCAAGCCUAUGCUUUGUAUACAUUAGCAUGGGAUCAUAUUAUAGGAUUUUGGUCCUAUUACAUUGGCCUUCGGGAUCAGAGUAGUGAUUAAUAGGGACAGUCGGAGGCAUUCGUAUUUCAUAGUUAGAGGUGAAAUUAUUGGAUAUAUGAAAUACGAACAACUAUGAAAGCAUUUUCCAAAUAUGUUUUCAUUAAUCAAGAAUGAAAGUUGGGGGCUCGAAGGAGGUCAAAUACCGUCCUAGUCUCAACCAUAAAUAAUGCCGACCAGGGAUCGGCGGAUGUUUCUGGUAAGCGCAAUUUAGGUUUGCUUGAAGUCAAUUUCCUAUGUUGCAUACAUAAUGGCCAGGCAUUAUCAAGUUUUAUCGAUUUUCUUUCACACCUCGCAUUUCAUGCAUGGGGUGAAUCAAAAGGCUGCCCUCGUGUCCCAGGCCUUUGAAGCUUCGUCGUGCGGUCAUGGUCCAUGAGCGGCGGUCAGGAUUCUCAGAUACGAUAGAUGCAGUGGCAUGGGGUCUUUAUCGACUCCUAUCUAUCCUGUAUGAUGUUCUUUUCAAACAAUGGUCGCGCUCACGUUGAAUCUGCCUGCGCCUGACAGGCAGGCCGGGCUCAUGCGACGUCGGCAUCGAUGAGGAAUGGUACCUGGUUGAUCCUGGCAGUAUUCAUGUACUUGUCUUUAAGAUUAAGCCAUGCAUGUGUAAGUAUGAAAAAAGUCAGACUGUGAAACUGCGAAUGGCUCAUUAAAUCAGUUAUAGUUUAUUUGAUAGUAUCUACUACUCCGAUAACCGUAGUAAUUCUAAAGCUAAUACGUGAAACAAACCCCGACUACUUAAAGGGAUGCAUUUAUUAGAUAAAAGUUUGAUGUAGGCUCUGCCCGUUGCUGCGAUGAUUGAUGAUAAAUAAAUGGAUCUUACGGCCAUCGUGCCGGUGACAUAUCAUUCAAAUUUCCAUCCUAUCAUGUUUUGAUGGUAGGAAAGUGGCCGUCUCAACCAUAAACGAUGCCGACCAGGGAUCG